AUUGAACGCUGGCGGCAGGCCUAACACAUGCAAGUCGAGCGGUAGAGAGGUGCUUGCAUCUCUUGAGAGCGGCGGACGGGUGAGUAAUGCCUAGGAAUCUGCCUAGUGGUGGGGGAUAACGUUCGGAAACGGACGCUAAUACCGCAUACGUCCUACGGGAGAAAGCGGGGGAUCGUUCGGACCUCGCGCCAUUAGAUGAGCCUAGGUCGGAUUAGCUAGUUGGUGAGGUAAUGGCUCACCAAGGCGACGAUCCGUAACUGGUCUGAGAGGAUGAUCAGUCACACUGGAACUGAGACACGGUCCAGACUCCUACGGGAGCAGCAGU
rnacentral:rRNA from 1 species